ensembl:lncRNA
GCGAGGGGGCGGGGCAGCUGCUGCCCGUGAGUGCGCUGUUGUAGAGACGGAGCCAGCCAUACUAAGGAGAGCUGAAGUUUGACCAGGUACCAAAGCAAAUCAUUCGUACUGUACAAAUAAUGUAAAUAUGAUGGUGCAUCACGAAAGAUUGAUAUCAAACUGAUCACUUGACCAAUAUUACGUUACUUGCUCUUCAAGUGAAUCAACAAAUGGCGAAAUGAAAAGCCGAACAAAUGCUAUUUUUUUUUUUUUUAGAGAUUCUUAGCUUACGUGUGUUUAUUUCAUAUUUUCAGUUCUUACCCUCCCCGACUAAAUCGGUUUCAGUUAUGUACUGAAAUAUAAGAAUGGACAUUAGAGGGUUCUUUCAAAGAAAAACUCAGCACAAAGAGGGAGAGAGGAAAAGAGAGGGAGAUGGAGAAUGAGGACAGAACAGAGAUGAACAAGAGCAGGUCAGAGGGGUUUUGUCACCAGAAGGAGCUCCGGCGUAAUACCAGGCAAGCGGUUUUAAAGUUCGACCUAUUGAAGUACAAGCCAACCACAAAAUAAAAC